UCUAAAAGCUGCUGCAGGAUUUCACAAAGGCAGGAAUCAGCUGAACCCCAAGGACAGGGUUGGCUCCUUCUCUCCCUCUGUCCAUCUCCUCCCUGCACCAUGGCCCUGUGCGCUCUGCCUCUCUGUCUCCUGGGGCUGUUCCUGGCAGGUUCUUGUGCCCAGCACGUGGUGACGCAGCCGCCCUCAGUGUCAGGGUCUCUGGGGCAGACAGUGAAACUCUCGUGCAGCGUCAGUGGAGGAUACAGCAUCGGUAGCUAUGGAAUAGGCUGGUACCAACAGACCCCUGGGAAUCCUCCCAGAUACCUGCUCUAUUAUUACAGUGAUUCUAGCACAGGCAGGGGCACUGGGGUCCCGGACCGGUUCUCUGGCUCUGCCUCCGGCAGUGUUGGCUACUUAACCAUCUCUGGGCUCCAAGCCGAGGAUGAUGCUGAUUAUUACUGUGCGACUUGGGACAACAGCGCUAAGAUGCUCACAGUGGUGUAA